GGGAUUUAGCGGUAAAACGCUCCGUUCACAUCGGAGAGACUCUAGGUUCGACUCCUAGUGCGCCCA
rnacentral:tRNA from 1 species